GGCUCUAUGGCGUAAUGGUUACGCACAUUUCGUAUACAAAGGCGGUGCAUAGGCUCUCGUGUGGCUCACUGGGCCUCCGGUUCGAUUCCGGACGGGGUCG